UACGGGGGGGCAAGCGUUGUUCGGAAUUACUGGGCGUAAAGGGCUUGUAGGCGGCCAACUAAGUCCGACGUGAAAUCCCCAGGCUUAACCUGGGAACUGCGUCGGAUACUGGAUGGCUUGAAUUCGGGAGAGGGAUGCAGAAUUCCAGGUGUAGCGGUGAAAUGCGUAGAUAUCUGGAGGAAUACCGGUGGCGAAGGCGGCAUCCUGGACCGACAUUGACGCUGAGGAGCGAAAGCUAGGGAGCAACGGG
rnacentral:rRNA from 1 species